UGCAAGUCGAGCGAGAAAGUUCCCUUCGGGGAGCGAGUACAGCGGCGGACGGGUGAGUAACGCGUGGACGAUCUACCCAAGGAGUCGGGAUAACCGUGCGAAAGCGGGGCUAAUACCGAAUGGUCUGGGCAUUUUGAAAUGUGCCUGGUAAAGGUGGCCUCUGAUUCAAGCUAUCGUCUUUGGAUGGGUCCGCGUCCCAUUAGCUUGUUGGUAGGGUCAAGGCCUACCAAGGCGACGAUGGGUAGCGGGUCUGAGAGGAUGAUCAGCCACACUGGGACUGGAACACGGACCAGACUCCUACGGGAGGCAGCAGUGGGGAAUAUUGGGCAAUGGGCGCAAGCCUGACCCAGCAACGCCGCGUGAGGGAAGAAGGUCUUCGGAUCGUAAACCUCAGUCAGGAGGGAAGAAAUGGGUUGUCCUGAACAGGGAUGGCCUUUGACGGUACCUCCAGAGGAAGCACCGGCCAACUCCGUGCCAGCAGCCGCGGUAAUACGGAGGGUGCAAGCGUUAUUCGGAAUCACUGGGCGUAAAGCGCACGUAGGCGGCUUUGCAAGUCAGGUGUGAAAGCCCUCGGCUCAAGCGAGGAAUUGCACUUGAGACUGUAGAGCUCGAGUUCGGGAGAGGGUGGCGGAAUUCCAGGUGUAGGAGUGAGAUCCGUAGAUAUCUGGAGG
rnacentral:rRNA from 1 species